AAGUCGUAACAAGGUUUCCGUAGGUGAACCUGCGGAAGGAUCAUUAACGAAUAACUAUGGCGUUGGUUGUAGCUGGCUCCUCGGAGCAAUGUGCACGCCCGCCAUUUUUAUCUUUCCACCUGUGCACCGACUGUAGGUCUGGAUACCUCUCGCCUCCGGGCGGAUGCGAGGGUUGCUCGUAAGGGCUUCCCUUGAACUUCCAGGCUCUACGUCUUUUUACACACCCCAAUAGUAUGAUGCAGAAUGUAGUCAAUGGGCUUCUCAGCCUAUAAAGCACUAUACAACUUUCAGCAACGGAUCUCUUGGCUCUC
rnacentral:misc_RNA from 1 species